rnacentral:rRNA from 1 species
AUUGAACGCUGGCGGCAGGCCUAACACAUGCAAGUCGAGCGAGCGGCGGACGGGUGAAUAAUGUAUGGGGAUCUGCCUGAUGGCGGGGGAUAACGACGGGAAACGGGAGCUAAUAGCGCAUACCAUCAGCUGCACCAAUAUGGGAUGAGCUUGUAGGGAGGGUAACGGCAUACCUAGGCGACGAUCCCUAGCUGGUCUGAGAGGAUGAUCAGCCACACUGGGACUGAGACACGGCCCAGACGCCUACGGGAGGCAGCAGUGGGGAAUAUUGCACAAUGGGCGCAAGCCUGAUGCAGCCAUGCCGCGUGUAUGAAGAAGGCCUUCGGGUUGUAAAGUACUUUCAGUCGGGAGGCGUUACCGACAGAAGAAGCACCGGCUAACUCCGUGCCAGCAGCCGCGGUAAUAC